GGAAACAGGUGCAGUUGUAUGGUCAGGUGAUAUUGAAAACAUUCUAAUCGCAGGCGUGCCCAGGUACCACGCUAUAUUCGGCCAGUCUCUAUGGCUACGCCACGGAGCAACCGCUCCUCACCGCCAUUGCCUGUGCGGUUUCUAACAGCUCCUCAUGAAGACCAAAUACCGCCAAUAGAAGAGGCACAAGCUCUUUCACCAGCAGUAGAGGUGGCUAGGGCGGAAGAGGAG